rnacentral:rRNA from 1 species
GAACUGCAUUUAAAACUAGUGAUCUAGAAUUUGGUAAAGGUUAGUAGAAUUUCCAGUGUAGAGGUGAAAUUCGUAGAUAUUGGAAAGAAUACCAGAAGCGAAGGCGACUAACUAGGCCAUUUUUGACGCUGAGAUACGAAAGCGUGGGUAGCAAACAGGAUUAGAUACCCUGGUAGUCCACGCAGUAAACGAUGAGUGCUAGUCGCUGGUCCAAUAGGAUCAGUGUCGAAGCUAACGCAUUAAGCACUCCGCCUGGGAAGUACGGUCGCAAGAUUAAAACUCAAAUAAAUUGACGGGGGCCCGCACAAGCGGUGGAGCAUGUGGUUUAAUUCGAAGCAACGCGAAGAACCUUACCAGACCUUGACAUGGUAUGUUUGAAUUACAGAAUCGUAAUUCUUCAGUUCGGCUGGCAUACACACAGGUGCUGCAUGGCUGUCGUCAGCUCGUGUCGUGAGAUGUUGGGUUAAGUCCCGCAACGAGCGCAACCCUCAUUUUUAGUUGCCAUCAGGUUAUGCUGGGCACUCUAGAAAAACUGCCGGUGAUAAGCUGGAGGAAGGCGGGGAUGACGUCAAGUCCUCAUGGCCCUUACGGUCUGGGCUACACACGUGCUACAAUGGUGGUGACAGAGGGCAGCAAUAUCGCAAGAUAAAGCUAAUCCCAAAAAACCAUCUCAGUUCGGGUUGGACUCUGCAACUCGAGUCCAUGAAGUUGGAAUCGCUAGUAAUCGUAGAUCAGCGUGCUACGGUGAAUACGUUCUCGGGCCUUGUACACACCGCCCGUCACGCCAUGGGAGUUGGUUUUACCUUAAGCCGGUGCGCUAACCGCAAGGAAGCAGCCGUCCACGGUAGGGUCAGCGACUGGGGCGAAGUCGUAACAAGGUAACCG